rnacentral:tRNA from 1 species
GGAGAGAUGGCCGAGCGGCUUAAGGCAGCGGUCUUGAAAACCGCCGAUGAGAAAUUAUCCGAGAGUUCGAAUCUCUCUCUCUCCA